rnacentral:misc_RNA from 1 species
GCGUCAUUGCACCCCUCAAGCGUAGCUGGUAUUGGGCCCUCGUCCUUGCGGACGUGCCCGAAAAAGAGUGGCGGUCCGAUGCGACUUCAAGCGUAGUAAAAUAUCUCCCGCUUUGGAAGCUUUCGCGUCGUGGCUGGCCAAAACCCACCCAUUUUUCAAUGAUUGACCUCGGAUCAGGUAGGGAUACCCGCUGAACUUAA